rnacentral:lncRNA from 1 species
UUUUUUUUUUUUUUUUUUUUUGGCUAUGGCAGGAGGAACAGUUAAGCGCCAAAGAGGCAAGCCUCUGCUGGUGUGCAGGAAGUUGAGGGUAGACGAACAAGGGGACACACUCACCUUCUUUAGUCGUUUGCAGCUGCUCAGCCAGCUCCUGUAAGCCCAUGUCUCUAAGCACAGUCAUUGUGAGCUCCAAGCCAUACGACUCCAGAUAGUAGCUGACAAGUUUGUCAGUGAGAUCUAUGGCGUCCAUCUGCAGCAGGGCCCCGCGUGGGAUGCGCCCAUAGCCUUCUCGCAGUUGCACUGUCAGCAGCUUCAUCUUGAACUUUUUGAGUUCAUCCCCUGACAAGUUUUCAAGAGCGUCCAGGAUGGCAUCUCGUGCCCGCCCCAUGGCUCUGGGGUGGGCAGCCGCGGUCACCUUUUACUCUUGCUGCUGCUCGCCUGCUGCAGCCUGCCUGCUGCCAGCCCGCCAAGACCAGGAAGUCAGCUGCUUAGGCCGAUGGGCAUGCUGGGACUCCCCCACCCUCUUUUCUUACAGCUCCUGUUCUUUCCCCAGCAAACUAGUUUUGGUUUCCGCCCCUAAGACUUUCAGACUUGGCUUUUUGGCUAGGCUGAAGAAACUAGGUGGAGGUGGGUUGGUGGAGGAAGUGGGGUGGGGACAGAGGGUGGAGCUAAGUUGUUACUCUGGCAGGUCCGGAGAUGCUGAGAGACUCAAUAGAGCUUACUUGCAAACCAGCUGUUGCUGAAAAGCAACCUGUUUCUGUUGAGUUUCUUGGAGCAUAGAGGUUUAGAAUCUUGGAAAUCUAGACGCCCCAAAUUUUGUUUCCCCAGAUCUUAGGAUCCACUCACAUGCCAUUGAAUAUUAGAAUUUUAACAGCUAGAACACUAAGCCCCUUGAAUUCCACAGAUUUGGACAAAAUGAAGUGCGAAAGAGAGUGACUAUGUCUUCACCUUAGUUUCUUUCAGCUAAAAGUUUUUGUCACUCCCAUCUCUCAGCCUCACAUCUGCUAGAAGGUGGGGGACCUGGGCUCAUGAUGGGUUGGGUUGGAAGGGCUAAGGCUUCUUGAAACCUUACCAAAUGCCCCAGCUAUUAAAUAUUUUGUAGUGUGAUGACAACUGGAGUGUAGAGACCUGAGUAGACAGCUAGCUACCCCCUUACUCCUGGGCUGGUUAGGAUGACCUUGGAGCCUGCUCUGUACCCAGAAUUCCUAACUGGCUUUAAACAUGGCUGGGGGUCUACUGGUCCAUCCCAGUUUUGAUCUAGUCAGUCUUGUUUUAUACCACACUGCCAGUUUACCCUUAUCUUCAAGCUCAGUUCCUCUGGAGUUGCUUUUUCAAUUCUUUGCACAUGCUGUUCCCUAAACCUUGAAAUUGCUUCUCUCUCAGACAAAUGCUUGGCUCCUCAACCCUCAGGUUAAAUGUUACUUCCUCCGAGAGUCCAGUCUUAAGAGUCCUCCAUCUACCCAUCUAGAUCAUAUUGCUGCUAGUGAACAAAGCUACUUUUUUGUAGCUCUUGUGCUUUUGUGGGGGAGGGGAGGCUAGGGAGGUUGUUAUAAUGCCCAGCAUGUGCCAAGGGCCCGCUACCUAGUCACCACUUAAUGCUUUGCCUAUUUAUUUACUUUAGAUAACCUUGUUGUGUAAGCUAGGCUAGUCUUGAACUCCUGAUCCUUUUUGCUCAGCCCCCUGACUGGUUGGAAUUGGAAUAGCAGGUGUAUUCUACCACAUCUGGCUUAAGGAGCCUCCCUCCUCUAUACAGGAUGCCAUUCUGUAGCCCUGGCUGUCCUGGAACUCGAGAUCCACGUGUCUGCAUCGCAAGUGCUUGGAUCAAGGUGUGUGCCACUAGGACCAGCAGAGUUUUAACUCUUGACACUUUACAACUAUGGAUUAAGUUUGCAGGGUGACAGAGUGUCCAUCCUUGUGGCAUGGUAUACCAGCAGCAAUUGUGGUGAGAUAGCCAGUGUACCUUGACUCAUGGCUUAUGGUUCCUCAUUGAUCCCUCCAUAAUUUUCAGAUCAUUAUGGCCAUAUAUGCAUCUUACAGCCUACACAAAGGAUGUUGUCCCUUUCCUACUCCUAUGAGUCCCCAGAUUCCUCAGAGUCAAAUGUCAUUACUAAGUAAUUUUCAACUCUUCUUUAGGCUGGGAUCCUCCAUAAGUGUCACUUACAUGCUUUUUGACAGUCCUUUUAAUGGGAAAGAUAGCCAUGUACAAAAGGGACGAUGGACUCAAGAGCACCUUGGUCUGAUAACUUAUCAGCUUAGCUUCUGUCUUUUUAAAAAUAACUGGUCAAACCUAGGGCCUCGUGCAUUUAUUUGUUUCAUUUCUGUUCCCAACAUGACUUUCCCUGCUAUUUUACCCUCUGUUUUCUCCCCAUGAUGUUCUUCCAUGUCUCUGCCACAGUUUUUAUAAUAUGAUGUGUCUACUUUUUCUAGAGUCUGAGAACUUAAGAGCAGAAACCAGAUCUGGACCAUCUCUGGCCAAUACCCAGCAUAGGGCUUGUCACUGACUUAGCCUUGAGGGGCCUUCAUAGAAUGACAAAAGUCCUAAUCCUAGAAUCGUAGAAAUAUACGAGAGACAGAGGCAGGAGGUUUUGCCCCAUGCACAAAACUGAGGCGAGGUGCAAGAGUCUGAUUUGCAAAGAAUGAUACCCCAGAUUCAGAUAGUAUGCAAUAGCAAAGAGCUUUUGUUCCGCUGAGAUCCAGCUUGCAGGCUCUGCCAUACGACAGCAUGGAAGAUGGAGGCGUAGGGUAGGCUUUGCAGUUUUAAAGCCUGUUAGGGCAGGAGUGGGUGCCUUUUACCUUUCUUUCCCUUGGUUGGUUGCCUUUGUGAUUCUCUAAGGCUCUGGGGGAUUUGGGGCACUUUUGCUGAUUAGCUAUACUUGGUUCAAGCUGGGUGGUGGGGCAGCUUCUACAGCUUCUGACUGACUGCCCAUGGGGUUAGAGCAGGCUCGAUAAUGGGGCAGCUUCCUGAUUGGCUAACCAUGAGGUAUGGUUUGUUUUUUAUUUUCCUGGAAUUGACUUGUUUCAGACUUUUCCAGUUCUGGGAAACAGAAACUUAGGCCUCGUCUCCCAAACUUCCAGUUUGCAGCCUGUCAUGGAGUCAGCUGGCUCUGGCUAAACUCUGUCCUCACAAGGUAACUAGCCUUAUGGCAGAUUUAGACUGGCUUAAAUGGGGUAAUUGAGAUACAAGCUAGUGGGAACAAGCCAAAGCUUAUGACCUAGGCAUUUAUUCAUAAUUAAGUUUCAGAGUCCUUAUUCUGGGAACAAAGAGGCCAGGUAGAAAAGCUGGUGGCUACAAGAAGGCUACAUAAAGAAACCUUGUCUCACCUCCCCACCUCC